rnacentral:lncRNA from 1 species
UCUGGGGCUGGAUCUAAGGCAGAGGGGGUGUGGAGAGGGAGGCUGCGGGGCCAGAAACGCAAGGCUUGGCAGGGCUUGGUGACAGAUUGGUCGUAGGAAGAAAGGACGAGGGAAAGAUCGAGGGUGAUUGAUUCUUGGUUCUUAGCCUGAGCAGCAGGACUGACGGUGAUGAUCUAAGUGAAGACUGAGGAGGGAAGGAAGAAUUGUCAGUGUCUCUGGAACACAUGCAGAGAUACCUGGGAGGCAGCUGAAUGGAAGGGUGUGCUGCUCAGAAGACAGAAGAGAGACCCAGCCAGACAACCGAGGUUCUGGGGAUAGAUCAAGCCUGGAGAUGACGGCAGAAGCCCAUUGGAGUAACUGAGAGCACCCAGGUGAGGGGACCCGAGCCAGAAAUGUAAGGAAGGUGAAUAUUCACAUCCCACACAUCCCACAUCCCUUCCUCCUCAUUAGUUUGUCAACUACUCACAGACUAGAAUCAUGUCUUCACCAUUUUUAUUCUUUACAGUGCCUUCAUUGAUCAAGCUCUCAGAGUGUCUCCAGCCCACAGAGUAAUGACCCAUUUAGAGAUCUUCCUAGAAGCCCAGCUGUACUCUGCAGUGUCUAUCUACCACCACAUUAUAAUUUGGAAGAUGUUGUCCUUAGGGUCCCCAAACUAUCCAUGACAAGAUCGCUACCCAUUGGCAUUGCUGUGUAUGGGGAGAGGGCUGGUGGUUUUCUAUCAGACACACUUGGAGGAGGCUCCAACAUCUCUUGCCGGCCGGGGUGCACAGCUGGAGAGUUAGGAUAAAGUCGGGAGGAUGAGAUGACAGAAUAGCUCACACAAUUUCUUGUCAUCUCCCUCAUCCACAGGAAUGGUAGCUUUGGGUUCUCAAACAGAGGCAUAGACACAAUUGCCACAAGUAUCAUGCGACAUAAAUACAAAUGAGAGUGCACUAGAGGAAAAUGUAUAAGGGUGAGAAGGCCACAAUAGUGCCACAUUCUGCAUAUUUAUAAAGGUGGUGGGGGGAUUAUAUAAAUUAGAAACUUGCUGGAAGCCAAGUAACUUCAUUAGACUCCAGAGAUAAGUGCCUAUUUGCUUUGGUCUCUGUUCCUGCUAGCACCCUGGAAGGGGUGGGGGGAGGGACCUCCAGGGCCAUCCCUCACUCACAUCCCUCCAACAGUGCUCAGCACAUAGCAGGUGUUGAAAAGUAGUUGUUUCAUAUCUCUGGUUGUAUACAUAGUAUACUCACACCAAUUUGUGUCCUAGAACAAUCAUCACAUUCAACCAUCAUUAAUUACCCCAUGCCCCCUCCAUUCCCCUCCAACCCCUCUGCCCUAUCAUUCCAUGUUAUAUAUAAUUUUUUAAAAAAUCAAAUAGUUGUUGAAUAAACACUAUUCUCAAAUGUGUGCCACACAGCCCCUGGCACAUAGGGAGAUAGAACCUAGUGCUCAACAAGGGAUUCUUGCUCCUGCCUUCCAGGUGCUUGUAAGACUCAUUCUAAGUUUGAAUAGUAGGCCUCUGUUUCACCUUCCUGACAUACACUCUAGACCUGAUCCUCCUUAAAGACACUAAUACCUUGAGUUUCCGCCUUUCAUCCCUUCCAGUCACAUUUGCUGGAUCCUGUGUCUCACCCUUUAGUCUUCCACUUCCUGCAGGACAAUAACAUUUUGCAAUAACCUACUGAGAUAGGGACACCUGCUACCCUUUUUUAGCUAAGAGACUCUGGAAGUUAGCAUCUUACUCAAAGCCUUGGAGUGAUAAGUGAGUGUGACCCCUCUGCUGCUGUCUCCCAUGUAAGUCCAUGAUCCUUGGACAAUCAUCUUUCAUCAGGUCCCCAGGAAAGGAUAACAAGAUGAUCAACAUGAUGUCCUUCCAAAAAAGCCUGUCUAUAGCUUGCUUAGAGUGGAACACUGGAAAUCCAUGGAAAGAAUACUCAUGAUCAAGAGAGUCAGGUCCAGGUCCAGCUCUACACUUAGCACGUGUGGGACAAUUUUCUGUACCUCUCUGGGUCUCCGUUUUCACUUCUGCAAAAUAAGAAUAAUAAUCCCUGCCCUUUCUGCUUUAUAGGAUUUUUGAAAUAAUUAAAUGAAUAAUGAAAGUGAAAAAGCUCAGAGAAUUGUAAAGGUGGCAUGGUAUAAGAGGUUUUUCUUUUUCAUUAUAAAAGUGGACAGUAAUAAAAUGAGUUCCAUUUCAGAUCUUUAAAGAUUGAGUCACACUAUCCAUCAUAUGUUCAUUUAGAUUCUAAAUUGAUUUUUUCUAAGAGGCAUUAUGUAUGUUUAAACUGCACUUCAUGUACUUUUUUAAUCAGCCACACUGAAUGUCUUGCAGUCCACUCUGGCAGAAAUAAUUCAUGGCCAUUGUCAUUACUUCAAUAAACAAUGCUUUGAGGGCUUAAAACACCACUGAAGGUAGAAGGGAUAUUUGCCAAGGAAUCCUUUGGUCCAUAAUCUCCCCAAUUGGCUCCUUGUGCAGUUAUAUGAAUGGGCAAAAGGACAAGGUUCUUGGAUCUGCGACGUCUGAACUGACUCCUGCCAAGUGGCAGGGACAAUUUUAGUGCCGCUGAGAAUCUGACUGCUGUUUCCGCCUACUCCCGCCUUCCUCCUUCCUCCUGUCCUUGAGCUCGCAGAUGCUGCCUGCCUUCUGCUCUUUCCUUUACCAGUUUCUUGCAUUUCCAUGUCUCCUUGCACCCGUUUUCCUCACUCCAGAUUCUCAUUAGUGAGUUUUCCUCUUUAUCCCUCCCCCACCCCAUACACACAGUCACAGAUUACUCGGUGUCCCCAGUGGGUCUGUGCUCAUCCAAUGAACAUGGACAGGCACAGUCUGGGAGCAGCAGGGGCAAUUUUCCUUCUCUGAGCCCUCAUGAUGCUAACGAGAAGAACCCUUUCCAAUGGGACCAGGUCUUCACUCUCCUUUCCGUCUUCUCCUUGGACUUCCCUGGACUUCAUCCUUCAAUGAACUCGGCACCCAGUCUGUCCCUUCCUUUCUACCCAUUCACCCAAAUACACUCAAGUGAACUUCCUUAAUAUUAAAUCUGACCAUGCCACUUCUAGAAUGCCCCAGUAACUCCAGAUAAAAUCUACAUUCCUCAGCUUCACUUUCUUUCUUUUAAAUAUAUUUUUUAGUUGUCAGUGGACCUUUUAUUUAUUUAUAUGUGGUGCUAAGAAUUGAACCCAGUGCCUCACACAUGCUAGGCAAGCGCUCUACCACUCAGCCACAACCCCAGCCCCUCAGCUCUACUUUCAGGAUUGCCUAUCAUUUGGCUCCCACUCAGUGUUCCAGACUGGCUCCUCGUCAGCUACCCCUGGAGCACACACUCAAUGUCAACCCUUGAUGUCAUUGCAAGUGAAUGAUUGAGUGAAGGCUGGAAGCUCAGCAUUGAGGUGAAGGGUAGUACAGUAGAAAGGGUAGGGGUUCGGGGUUAGGACUGUGGUAAGGCCUCAGCUAUUUAUUUAUGGUAUUGUGGCCUGCUUUCUGUAUGUAUUGGAAAAUCUUAUGUCCUUCCACACGGGGCUUGGAUUAGGGAAAGGGAGGGAUUUACCUUGGACACAAAAAUUAAGGGGGUAUUAAAAAAUUAAAUGAUCAAAAAAAAAAUCUUAAUAUGCUGUUUUAGUAAAACUAAAGUUAAUUUUAAAAAUGAUUCGUAAUAAAAAAGUUUCAAGAUUGUAAAUAAAGCCAGUAUCUGACUCUGCUCUUACCAUCCUGCCUCUCUCACUUUACCGGGCCCUCCUCACAG